UACGUAGGGAGCAAGCGUUGUCCGGAAUCAUUGGGCGUAAAGCGCGCGUAGGCGGCCCCGUAAGUCCGCUGUGAAAGUCAAAGGCUCAACCUUUGAAAGCCGGUGGAUACUGUGGGGCUAGAGUCCGGAAGAGGCGAGUGGAAUUCCUGGUGUAGCGGUGGAAUGCGCAGAUAUCAGGAGGAACACCGGUGGCGAAGGCGGCAUUCUGGACUGUAACUGACACUGAGGAACGAAAGCCAGGGGAGCAAACGGG
rnacentral:rRNA from 1 species